rnacentral:lncRNA from 1 species
CCAAAGCUGUGAGCUGGCAGCAGGGGCAGCCCAGGAAUUGGGGCUGCAGGGUCAGGGCUGGGCUCGGGCAGGACCUGGGGGUCCUGGCAGGGGCGAUGCCAGGCUCCCCCUGGCUUUGCAGUGCGACUGUUCCUCCAGCUUUGUGUUUUCCUGGCUGCUCCCAAAGGGGAAGGAAUGUCCAGCUGGCCCAGGGCAGGCAGUGACCACCUCCAGACCGUGGGGCUGGAGUUCUUCUCUUUGACUUCUGGGCUUUUAUUUGGUUUAUUGAUUUAUUUAGAUUGAAACAGAGCGGGGGUGGGGGGGUUAUGAUGAAAAUUUUAUAAAAUUAUUUCUUUUUAGCUCCUGAAGCCUAUAUUUCCCAUGUUCCUAUAAUCUGUGAUAUAAUGUACAAACAGGAAAACACAAAAAUAUACAUAUGCUGCUCUGUGUAUGUUCUGUGUACAUGUACUGUAUAUAAAUAUCUGUGGAGAAACAGCCCUUUACCACAAGUAACCAAACGUCCUGGGGGUUCUGGUGACACCAGAGCUGUGUCCUGUGACACCAGAGCUGUGUCCUNGUGACACCAGAGCUCUCUCCUGGUGACACCAGCCCCCCAGGCCAUGUUUACCCAUCACGCUGUUGCCUAUUUGGUGAGUUUUUCUGGUGUACAGUGAGACGUGUUCAGAGUGUCCUCCUGUCCCCCCAGCGGUGCCCUGGCUGUGACACUGGGGGUGCAUGUGCCAUUCCUGUCCCCUUUUGUGUCCCCAAGACUGCUGUACCCCCUGUAGACACAAUGUACCUGGAGAUUCCUCUCUAGACCAAUGUACUGUAUGUGGAGCUGUGUCCUCGUGCUCGCCUGGUUGAACGCUCCUGUGUUGUUUCUGUGGAUGACCGUGACUCACAAAUGAUUAAAGGACCUUGAUAUUUUAUUUUAUUUCAUUUUUUUCCUACAUCUCCUGCACUUUUUCCAGCUCUCCACGAGUGUCAUCCAAAGUAGUGUUGGUCCUGUAGAACUGUCAGAGAAGAAACAAAUAUAUGUAUAUUGUCUGUGUAUGUCUGUGUGUGCUUAAAUAAAGUUUACUGAGG